UACAGAGGUCUCAAGCGUUGUUCGGAUUCAUUGGGCGUAAAGGGUGCGUAGGCGGCGCGGUAAGUCGGGUGUGAAAUUUCGAGGCUUAACUUCGAAACUGCAUUCGAUACUGCCGUGCUAGAGGACUGGAGAGGAGACUGGAAUUUACGGUGUAGCGGUGAAAUGCGUAGAUAUCGGGAGGAACACCGAUGGCGAAGGCAGCACUCUGGGCCGGUACUGACGCUGAGGAGCGAAAGCGUGGGGAGCGAACAGG
rnacentral:rRNA from 1 species